GCAUAUCAGGAAAGGCACACAAUGUGAGGUUGAAAGGUGAGGCAACAAAUAAUGGUGCUGGAAGGAGACUAAUGGAACUGUGAAAUCAGAAAAUCUCCUGUCACAGCAUCCUAAGGUGACGCGAAUGAAGUCUGAACUCUGCAUGGCCUUGUCUCUAAUACCUUUUCAAGGUUUUCAUGCUUCUCCUUAGCGCAUAGUGAAUUUGACUGAGAUCAAGAAAUUAACAUCUUCAUAGAUCGUAAGCUCCAUGAGGGCACAAACCAGUUUCUGUUAUGAUCAGCUCUGUAGUUCCAAGCCAGCAUGGUCCUACACACAGCAGGUGCUCAAUAAAUUAUUAUUAAAUGAAUGAAUGAACUACUGAGUUUAAUUCAGCUUUGCCACUUAUUGUGUGACAACAAUAACUUUUAUACUGAUACUAUAUACCAGACACUCAGCACCACAGGCAAAACAUCAUAUAAAACAAUGCCUUUGCCUUCAAGAAGCCUAGAGUCGAGGAAAAGAUAUAUACAUAUAUACAUACACCAAAAAGUAUUGUAAGAGCUCUGAUAAAAACACAUUCAGGGUAGGGAGCCGGCCCAGUGACUUAGCGGUUAAAUGCACAUGCUCCACUUUGGCGGCCCAGGGUUCACAGGUUUGGAUCCCGGGCGCAGACCAACACACUGCUUGUCAAGCCUUGUUGUGGUGGCAUCCCAUAUAAAGUAGAGGAAGAUGGGCACUGAUGUUAGCACAUGGCCAAUCUUCCUCAGCAAAAAGAGGAGGAUUAGCAACGCAUGUUAGCUCAGGGCUAAUCUUCCUCAUAAAAGAAAAACACAUUCAGGGUAAAGGAGGAAACAAUCAUUUCUAUAUGAGAAGAAGGGUCAGGAAAAUCAUUUUUUAUAAAGUGACCUGUGAACUGAGUUUUGGACGAUAAGUAGGAAUGAACCAAGAGUCCAGGCCCUUGAGAUUUGCCAGCCCUAAACCUGACUCGACUUCAUCAUGGCCAUUGCAGCACCCCCUCCACGGCAUGAGCUCAUCUGCUGUGAUUCCAUUGGAACACUGUCAUGGAAGACUCUCUUGGAACCUGGACACCAGCUCUUCAAGAGACUUCUUAUCACCAUUACUAAAUAUUAGCCCUAGAGAUCUUCCAUUCUCUCAUCCAAACUCUUCUGGCCUCCCUUUACCUCUAUCCGAAUGAGCAGAGAAGCUAAAGGAUGGAUUACAGAGGUUUCAGCAUUCAGCAAUCUAAGGAAACAAGAUCUGCUGUCUCUGUUCAGAUAGAAUGCCUGUAUCUACCAAUAUCAGAGCUACCACCUAAAGAAUAUAAAGAGAAAGAAGUUAGAAAAGUGGAGAGGACCUGUGAAUCAAGCCCUGGAGAAGUCCACCAGUUCAUGCACAGGAGGAGGAGGAAGGGUCGGAAGAAUGUGAUGUCUCAGGAUUCAAGAGAAG